CAACAGGGAUUGCCCCAGUAACGGCGAGUGAAGCGGCAACAGCUCAAAUUUGAAAUCUGGCUCUCGGGCCCGAGUUGUAAUUUGUAGAGGAUGCUUUUGGUGAGGUGCCUUCCGAGUUCCCUGGAACGGGACGCCAUAGAGGGUGAGAGCCCCGUCUGGUUGGACACCGACCCUCUGUAAAGCUCCUUCGACGAGUCGAGUAGUUUGGGAAUGCUGCUCUAAAUGGGAGGUAUAUGUCUUCUAAAGCUAAAUACCGGCCAGAGACCGAUAGCGCACAAGUAGAGUGAUCGAAAGAUGAAAAGAACUUUGAAAAGAGAGUUAAAAAGUACGUGAAAUUGUUGAAAGGGAAGCGCUUGUGACCAGACUUGGGCUUGGUUGAUCAUCCGGGGUUCUCCCCGGUGCACUCUUCCGGCCCAGGCCAGCAUCAGUUCGCCCUGGGGGACAAAGGCUUCGGGAAUGUGGCUCUCUCCGGGGAGUGUUAUAGCCCGCUGCGUAAUACCCUGUGGCGGACUGAGGUUCGCGCAUUCGCAAGGAUGCUGGCGUAAUGGUCAUCAGUGACCCGUCUUGAAACACGGACCAAGGAGUCGUCUUCGUAUGCGAGUGUUCGGGUGUCAAACCCCUACGCGAAAUGAAAGUGAACGCAGGUGAGAGCUUCGGCGCAUCAUCGACCGAUCCUGAUGUUAUCGGAUGGAUUUGAGUAAGAGCAUACGGGGCCGGACCCGAAAGAAGGUGAACUAUGCCUGUGUAGGGUGAAGCCAGAGGAAACUCUGGUGGAGGCUCGCAGCGGUUCUGACGUGCAAAUCGAUCGUCAAACAUGGGCAUG
rnacentral:rRNA from 2 species